rnacentral:rRNA from 1 species
UACAGAGGUCUCAACCGUUGUUCGGAUUCAUUGGGCGUAAAGGGUGCGUAGGCGGCGCGGUAAGUCGGGUGUGAAAUCUCGGAGCUUAACUCCGAAACUGCAUUCGAUACUGCCGUGCUUGAGGACUGGAGAGGAGACUGGAAUUUACGGUGUAGCGGUGAAAUGCGUAGAUAUCGUAAGGAAGACCAGUGGCGAAGGCGGGGUCUCUGGACAGUUCCUGACGCUGAGGCACGAAGGUCAGGGGAGCAAACGGG